AUUGAACGCUGGCGGCAUGCUUUACACAUGCAAGUCGAACGGCAGCGCGGGGGCAACCCUGGCGGCGAGUGGCGAACGGGUGAGUAAUGCAUCGGAACGUAUCCUGUAAUGGGGAUAACGUAGCGAAAGUUACGCUAAUACCGCAUACGCUCGAGAGAGGAAAGUGGGGAUCGCAAGACCUCACGUUAUAGGAGCGGCCGAUGUCCGAUUAGCUAGUUGGUGGGGUAAAGGCCUACCAAGGCGACGAUCGGUAGCUGGUCUGAGAGGAUGAUCAGCCACACUGGGACUGAGACACGGCCCAGACUCCUAC
rnacentral:rRNA from 1 species